CAUUUUCUCAUUCAUUAGGCAGGGUUGCCACAUUUCGUAAUAUAUUUUAAAAUGCACUUCAUAGUGUAUUUCGGGCAUAAAGUAAAUAACUGCUUUGGUAAAACAAAAUGAAGAAAAAAAUCACUCUUCCAUGCCCAGAAGCAAAAAUUCCCACAAACAAGGAAAAAUAAAAUAAAAUUAAAUCACAAAGGCAAAAAACAAAAAGCACCCAGGCAAACUCUAGACACUGUGAAACAAUUGGUCCUUACUUUGGCUGUCUUUGCCUAAGAAGGAAAAGUGUCAUUGCUCUCUAAGUAACCUUUUUAUCAUCUGGGGAAGAAAAGAGAGAUAUAAGUAGAAUGAUAUUCACGGAGCAAAUUAAAGCAGUCUCUUGUCACCCUGCAUCCACACAGCCAGCCUGCGUCCUCAGUGAGAGAUGAGAGACAGUUGUGGGCAAUAACAAGAGGAGAAUUACAAGCAAAAAGAAAUAGGGCUACUUUGCACCCCUUCCUUGGAGGACUGGGUCUGGGUCGGGUAUUGGCUUGGUUUUGCUGUUUUUACCACGCUUUGGACUGCAGGCUUUUUGAGACUGAGAUUGUUCCUAGCAGCUUUCUCUUCCUCUUUGAAGCCUUAAGGAUUGUGUAUCAGCUCCAUAGUGGAGUCUGCAUCUUCUGUGAAGUUCUUAAAUCUGGAGCGUUCCAUGACCUCCUACUGUUGACAAAACUAGCAGCAAUUACUAUUUGAAAUGUACCAGAAGAUGAUCCUGCUCAGCAGAAGCUGCUGCUUUACAGCAUUUACAGGAUUUAUCUCUAAAUUAAUAUUUUCAUCGAACAAGCUCACUAUACACCUUACAUAAUCUUUAAAUUAUAGGAAAAUGCUAGAAGGGUGCUCUGAGAGUCGGCUGUUGAAGUAAUGCUGGAGAUUUAUGGCUCUCUGAAGUCGACAUUUGUAACUGACCUGCAGUGCACCAGGGCUGCUAUUUCCCUUUCCUGAUUCAUGAUAAGUGCAGCUGUCUCCAAAUAAGCCUCCAGAGCCCAUUAAUGCCCAGUUCAUUCCCAUAUGGUAAAUAUGCACAUCUCUUGCUUCACUUUUUAAUGCUCUGUUGCUGUUAAGUUGAAUAGAAAAUUAGAUUUCCUAUAUUUUCCUCCCUUAAAAAUAAAUUUCUCAAGCUCCAAUGUAGUGAUGACUUU
rnacentral:lncRNA from 1 species